CCCCCGAACAGAACACAUGACACUGUUGAACUCUGUGGUACAUAUGAUGACUGAAUCUGGUAUAUGAGUCUGGUAACUGUAUAUGUAGUGGACAGAAUUCAGUCAUCAUAUGUACCACAGAGUUCAAUAACUUGACUUUUUUUUAGGCUGGACAAAACAAGGGAAUGAGGAUCUAGGGUUGUUGGCAUUUCCUUCUCUACUCUAGUCUCACUCUCCUUUUUCCCCUCUCCUCUCUUCAUCAUUCUCUCCUCUAUUCCCCAUCUAUCCUCCUCUUCUCUUCUCUUCCUCUUCUCUUCCUCUUUAUCUCCUCUCUCUUCCUCCUCUUCUAUCCUUAACUGAUCUUCACAACUUUCCUCUCUUUCCCUCUGUAUUCUCUUCAUUCUUGCCUUUCUCAUCUCGUUAGGUUCUCAUCAUUCUGUAAAAUUAUAGACCAGUUGCCAACAAAAGAUAGAGUCGAUAUAAAAAGUAUACACACCCCUGUUAAAAUGCCAUGUUUUGUGAUGUAAAAGAAUGAGACAAAGAUAAAUCAUGUCGGAUCUUUUCCCACUUUUAAUGUGACCAAUAAUGUGAAAAAUUCAAUUGAAAAACUAAUUGAAAUCUUCGAGGGGGAACAUUUUUAAAUAAAACCCUUACAAUAACCUGGUUGCAUAAGAGUGAUGCCAACACCCCGUUCCCAAAACUGGUAUCACACCUGAUGCCAACACCCCGUUCCCAAGACUGGGGUCACACCUGAUAUUCCAUUAUGAUUAAUCAUUAUCAUUACUAGAUCUGAGAGGUUUGGAGGAGUUAAUUGGGGUGGGGUAGGUGACUGGGAAGAUGUUUUAUAGGGGAUGUGUUGAGGAGGUGGGGUUGGGUGAGGUGACUGGGAAGGUGUUGUAUAGGGGAUGUGUUGAGGAGGUGGGGUUGGGUAGGUGACUGGGAAGGUGGGAUGUGUUGUAUAGGGGAUGUGUUGAGGAGGUGGGGUUGGGUAGGUGACUGGGAAGGUGGGAUGUGUUGUAUAGGGGAUGUGUUGAGGAGGUGGGGUUGGGUAGGUGACUGGGAAGGUGGGAUGUGUUGUAUAGGGGAUGUGUUGUAUAGGGGAUGUGUUGUAUAGGGGAUGUGUUGUAUAGGGGAUGUGUAAAGGCUUUAAAUAAAGACAAGCUGAACAAUACAAAGGACACCGCCUGGAGGUUAAAUUCACAGUUAAUGAUAAAAUAAAGCCAGAAUGUAUUUGGAUAUUAAAUAAUUCUCCGCCAUGAAAGAUGGUUCCAUAUUUGAGGAGAAGUGGGGUUACAGAGGAGGUGUCUAUUAUGUUGUAGAGGAGGUGUCUGUUGUGUUGUAGAGGAGGUGUCUGUUGUGUUAAAGAUUAUUUUAACAGGGUUGCAUGUUGUGUAACAAGGUUGCAAUGUGCGAAAGACCCUCCAGGCCAGGCUCCCCAAAAUAUCAGGUAUGUGUCAGAUGGCCAGAGCUGGCAUCCUAUCACUCUCCUGACAGGUUAAAAGGUUUGAAUUCCCAGGGUGAUGUGCACAGUAGUAUAGGACAGUGUCACUCAAACCUGCUCCUGGAGACACUCCACCCUGCAU
ensembl:lncRNA